rnacentral:lncRNA from 1 species
AUGGUGCAGCCCAAAGCGAACUACUUCCCAGGAGCCUACAGAAAAGCGCUGGCUUCUCAAGCCCCUAGGAGGGUGCCUGGCUCCUCCACCUUUGUCACCAAUUCUUCAAGUUCAUCGAGAAAAGCUGAAAAUAAGUAUGCAGGAGGGAACCCAGUCUGUGUGCGCCCAACUCCCAAGCUCAAAAAGGCAUCGGGGAAUUCUUCAGGCUGUCCCCUAAAGAGUCUAAAGAGGAGAGCCAGGUUCCUGAAGAAGCAGGAAGCAGUGGCUUAGGAAAAGCAAAGAGAAAAGCUUGUCCUUUGCAACCUGAUCACAGAGAUGAUGAAAACGA